AGAUAAAAGCAUCCAGUUGUGCAGCAGAUUUCUGGGUUUCAGCAGAUCUCAAACGUUACUUUGACAUCGUGAAGUGAAACCGUGGAGCUGCUGUGAAGCACAGAUGGAGCCUCUCCAGCUAAUGACGGUUGACAGAGUUAUACACAACGUGGGCUAUAUUUGAAGUACAGAACAAAACUGAACAACUGGAGCAUCUGUUCUAAGACUAGAAGAGAGGCUGAUUAGUAACGCAAAUGUCCAAGAAUAAGGAAGAAAGCAGCAAAUCCACAUUCUAUAGGAGCAUCAGCCCAUCAUUCAGGAUCAACCAAACCAACCUCCUUUCAAUUCUUCAUCGAAGCCGUCUGGCUCUGAAGACAGACACAGCCUGUCCAGAUGAAACAUGGAUUGUUUAUGAGAGUGAACUACUAAAAGCUUUGACUUUAUUUUGAAAUCAAACCUGAUGGUGGAUCUCUUGGACCAGAACUGACCAGCUGAAGUCAGAGGGAUAAAAGUGCAAAAAUAAAACCCAGCAGGUAUGGACUCCAUUCCUCGCCGCCUCUUCACCGCUGACCCGCCUCACACCACUGGGCCCCAUCAGGAUGAAAAAUUGAACAAAGCCAGAUCCCUAAAGGGAUUCGGCGGCCUGAGAUGAGACAUAAAAAAGUAACGCACUACCCGCUCUCACACCCCGGUCCACGGCGUCUUCGCCGUCUGCCAGCGCUGACGGAUGUUUUGAAGUAAUUACCUCUGAACUGGAUCUAAUUAAAGCUCCACUUGUCUUUCUUUGUGGUCAUUCUAUAUAAAACACCCUGCCAGGCUGACCGGCUAAUUAUGUUAAAGCUGUCUGAAGUGAACUUAAGAUCACGGAGAAAUAGCGCCGUCACUUUCACAAAUCCAGCAGGAGAGUUUUAAUCCUUCAUUUAGAUAUCCAAACUUUCCUUUUUUCACUAAAUCAUUUGACUUAUUUUAAAAGUUUAUCUUCUUGGUGUUUUUUGGUCAAAUAUUUGA